rfam:Streptomyces sp. PVA 94-07 chromosome, whole genome shotgun sequence.
CUUGAGCGAACCGAGCAGCAGCGGCCGCGCGGGGUCGCGGUCCUGGCCGUAGGUGGCGAGGAUGGCCUGCGCCUC